AGCCUAUGAUGGUUUAAGAGUAGUGGACAGAAGGGAUUUCUGAAACGUUUUAUUCUGAGGCU
ensembl:snoRNA